GGAUGUGACUCAGUGGUAGAGUGCUUAUUUAGCAUGUAUGAGGCCCUGGGUUUGAUUCCAAGGGCAUCUG
rnacentral:tRNA from 1 species